rnacentral:lncRNA from 10 species
AAUAAUAUGCAGACAUAAAGUGGAAUGAUUGACACAUGUUUACAACAUGGAUGAACCUUGACAACGCUGUGUUAAGUUAAAGAAGCCAGACACAAAAGGGAUUGUCAACACUGUGGCAAUUGAAAAUAACAGGAAUAACUGUUUUAUGACAAAUGGACCUGAACCCUAUGAAAUGAAUUUGCAAGCACUGGCACAGUUAACAUAUGCUACAAACAACCAUCUUCAGACAGUGUAGCGAACCAACUGUGCCAGACUUAAACUGACGACCCUGAGGUGAAUCGUUCUAUUGCCACA